CCUAUGGGGGGCAGCAGGCGCGAAAACUUUACAAUGCGGGAAACCGUGAUAAGGGGACACCGAGUGCUAGCAUCAUAUGUUAGCUGUCCAGGCGUGUAAAAUACUCCUGUUAGCAAGGGCCGGGCAAGACCGGUGCCAGCCGCCGCGGUAACACCGGCGGCCCGAGUGGUAAUCGUGAUUAUUGGGUCUAAAGGGUCCGUAGCCUGUUUGGUCAGUCCUCCGGGAAAUCUGAUAGCUCAACUAUUAGGCUUUCGGGGGAUACUGCCAGACUUGGAACCGGGAGAGGUAAGAGGUACUACAGGGGUAGGAGUGAAAUCUUGUAAUCCCUGUGAGACCACCUGUGGCGAAGGCGUCUUACCAGAACGGGUUCGACGGUGAGGGACGAAAGCUGGGGGCACGAACCGGAUUAGAUACCCGCGUAGUCC
rnacentral:rRNA from 1 species